UAGAUAUGAGGUUACUGAGGUUUUUAUUCAAAGCCUUUUGCUGAGACUGAUGCGUGAUUAUUUUUCUAACAGUACUACCCGGCUGGUUGUAUAGAUGGAUGUACGUCCACGGAUCAGAUCUUCCGCGUAAGCUCCUUCUAAGUUGUUUACUUCCUUGAAUAUGUAAUGCUUUGUUAAGAUUGUGAAAAUCAGAGCAUGUCAUGAUCACUUGCGUGAAUUAAUUAGUCAUUGUGAGGGAAACGUGUUGUGGAAAUGGUUAUUUGUUUUUUUUUUAAGGAAAACACUUUCCAUUAAUUCAAAACGGUCGAACGAUUACAGUGGGGUCCCAAAACGGGGUCAUCAGGCCAUGGCA
rnacentral:lncRNA from 1 species